AGUGGCGAACGGGUGAGUAACACGUGGGCAAUCUGCCCUUCACUCUGGGACAAGCCCUGGAAACGGGGUCUAAUACCGGAUAACACUCUGUCCCGCAUGGGACGGGGUUAAAAGCUCCGGCGGUGAAGGAUGAGCCCGCGGCCUAUCAGCUUGUUGGUGGGGUAAUGGCCUACCAAGGCGACGACGGGUAGCCGGCCUGAGAGGGCGACCGGCCACACUGGGACUGAGACACGGCCCAGACUCCUACGGGAGGCAGCAGUGGGGAAUAUUGCACAAUGGGCGAAAGCCUGAUGCAGCGACGCCGCGUGAGGGAUGACGGCCUUCGGGUUGUAAACCUCUUUCAGCAGGGAAGAAGCGAAAGUGACGGUACCUGCAGAAGAAGCGCCGGCUAACUACGUGCCAGCAGCCGCGGUAAUACGUAGGGCGCAAGCGUUGUCCGGAAUUAUUGGGCGUAAAGAGCUCGUAGGCGGCUUGUCACGUCGGAUGUGAAAGCCCGGGGCUUAACCCCGGGUCUGCAUUCGAUACGGGCUAGCUAGAGUGUGGUAGGGGAGAUCGGAAUUCCUGGUGUAGCGGUGAAAUGCGCAGAUAUCAGGAGGAACACCGGUGGCGAAGGCGGAUCUCUGGGCCAUUACUGACGCUGAGGAGCGAAAGCGUGGGGAGCGAACAGGAUUAGAUACCCUGGUAGUCCACGCCGUAAACGUUGGGAACUAGG
rnacentral:rRNA from 1 species